rnacentral:rRNA from 1 species
GAUGAACGCUGGCGGCGUGCCUAAUACAUGCAAGUCGAGCGAACGGACGAGAAGCUUGCUUCUCUGAUGUUAGCGGCGGACGGGUGAGUAACACGUGGAUAACCUACCUAUAAGACUGGGAUAGCUUCGGGAAACCGGAGCUAAUACCGGAUAAUAUUUUGAACCGCAUGGUUCAAUAGUGAAAGACGGUCUUGCUGUCACUUAUAGAUGGAUCCGCGCUGCAUUAGCUAGUUGGUAAGGUAACGGCUUACCAAGGCAACGAUGCAUAGCCGACCUGAGAGGGUGAUCGGCCACACUGGAACUGAGACACGGUCCGGACUCCUACGGGAGGCAGCAGUAGGGAAUCUUCCGCAAUGGGCGAAAGCCUGACGGAGCAACGCCGCGUGAGUGAUGAAGGUCUUCGGAUCGUAAAACUCUGUUAUUAGGGAAGAACAUAUGUGUAAGUAACUGUGCACAUCUUGACGGUACCUAAUCAGAAAGCCACGGCUAACUACGUG